rnacentral:rRNA from 1 species
AGUGAACGCUGGCGGCGUGCUUAACACAUGCAAGUCGAGCGGUAAGGCCCUUCGGGGUACACGAGCGGCGAACGGGUGAGUAACACGUGGGUGUACCGUGCCCUCAGCGUCUGGGAUAAGCCUGGGAAACCGGGUCUAAUACUGGAUAUGACUCCAUGACGCAUGUUGUGGGGUGGAAAGCCUUGGUGCGGCUGAGGAGUGGGCCCGCGGCCUAUCAGCUUGUUGGU